rnacentral:lncRNA from 1 species
GGGUGGGAGAGGGAGCAGUGGCCAGAGACGGAGAUGGAGAGCGCCGGGGCGGGCGGUAGGUCGUCGUAGUCGGAGAGGGAGGCAGGCGGCGCGGGGAGGUGGGAGGCGCGGCCGAAGAGGAGGCCGUCGCAGUCGCCGGCGGCGGCGGCGCAGCGGUGGAGGAGCGCGGCGAGGGCGGCGCCGGAGAUGGAGAGGUUGGGCACCGGGGCCGGGGUGGCGCCGUCGCCGAGGGCCAUCGGAUCGGGGAUCCUCUGUCUCUGUGGACUCUGCUGCUGUGUUGUGGUAGGAACGAAAGGAACACGCUGGCGUUUUUUUAUUAUUAUAAGCAGCCACAUUUGAUUAAUCAGUAAUUAAAGGAAGAAAGUCACCGCACAAAUUUUCCUUUUCAGAUGAGAUGUUAAUGGACAUCCAAAUUUUUCAUGCCUCUGGAGCCAAAGCUGUCAACUUGCACUUGAUAAUGGUUUUCAGAUAUUUUUAUUUUUACUUACAAACUGAUGAACUGAGUAAUAAAAACAAAAUUUGGCGUCAGUUUUGUCGUCCAUAUGUCUAAGAUUCGGCUAUUGCUGCUAGGCUUAUUAUCAUAAUGCAGAGCUAUUCGUCAUUCGGUUUCAGGCUUGCUAAGCAUGGGCAAUUGGCACAGAGCAGGUUUUGAAGGGGUGCUUGCCAGGAUAAUCCAAAACGCAAAGCUUGCAGAAACUUGCAGGCAAUUUGUUAAAGUGCAUCCGUUUUGCUUUAAGGCUUAUUGCAAGGCAAAUUGUUAUAUCGAGGGCAAAUUAUCCGACGGAUCAUACGUGAAGGGAUAUGAAAGUGUCAGAGAUAAUGUAGUCCAAGCUGUGUGUGUGUCUGCCUUCUGUGCAAAAGUUAGUUAUAUGACAACAAAACAAAGACAACCUCUUGUGUUCCAACCUACUGUUAAUGAGUGUUUGUCCUGUCUAAAUAAUUAUAUGGUAGCAGUAGACAUAACCUCUUGUUCUCUUAUUUUCUUUUCUUCUCAAGUUUACAAUUGUGCAGCAGUAGACAUAAGACUAUUUUCGGACUUUUUCAAGGGUCAAAGCAAAAAGGAAUGCCCUUUUAUCAACCGCAAGCGCCAGAAUGCCGUUAUGGCAUUUGAUAUUUUUUUCCCUUUGCUUCUUACGAUCCUAGCUACACAUGCAUAUGGUACUUAUUUCUUUGAUAUAUACUAUAUAUAUUUGAACUUAUGUUUAAAUGGUCCAUCUCUUCAAAUUAUGAUUCAAUGGUAGGUAGUCAAAUUCAUUAAAAGUAAAUACGUACUAUAUUUGACCAUGUUGUCUCGUGUCCCACGCUUUUUUCACAGCAUGGAAGGCCGACAUACGUGGGCCAAGGUAUGAAGACAGGUGGGUCCACCCGACCAUGCCGUGUGGACCAAGGCAGGAAGACACGUGGAGCCCAAACCAAGAGGCAAGGCGAACCAAUUCAGCCCGGAUAUCACGAUAUACUUGUUGUAAACUGACUCAGAUUGCUUUCCCUGUAACAACUAACUAGGAUUAGAUUCUAUCCGAUAGCGGCAAGGGGCGUCCCCCGAGAAAUUCAUCCCACCUCACGUUAACUCUUCGCACCUGUGAUCGGCAAUACAAUCGACCAGAACACAGGACGUAAGGUAUUACUCUCCAGAGGCCCGAACAUGUCUCAACCUUGCGCCUCUGUGUUACCAUUCGAGUUCUUCAUCUUACGAUCUCCCCCGCCUACAAAUCUACCACCUAGGUAACCCCCUGAUGGACUGCCGGUCACUAAAUCCGACACCCGAGAACCAAAUUGCCAUGCGUUCCAUUUUGUUUGGAUGCGUCCUGCCGACGGCGAUGGUAGGUGCUAGUCCUUUCAGAGUUGUAAGCCCGUCAAGUUAGUUAGUUGCUCUCAGAUGUAAAGACGAGAUCGAAAUUCUUUCAUGCCUUCUUUAGCCAAAGCUAAACUUGCAGUUCAGAAGGGUUCUUUGAGUUUUUAGUACAAACUGAUUUGAUGAACCAAGUAAUCAACAAAAGAGUAUGCCAUCUCUUGACCCUGACAAAUUGCCAAACACCAAGGUUCAACUGGUACAACCAUAUGCUAUCAUGUAAACAAGAGUACACGCAUCAGGUGUACCAAGGCUAAACAGGUGUGCAACCAGCAUAAAUUAAUCAUGUAAAAAAGAGUACACGCAUGGAUUCUUCUCCUUCCUCAUAACAUCAAGUCCUUACCUCGUUAAGUUUUUGGCACCAGUUUGUUAAUUAACUUGCAAGCCUGUGCUGUAAACUGAAGCUGAAGCUGUGCGCUGGGGCUUGCAUGCACGUCAUUAUUGUCUCUCCUCGAGAGAUGGUCUUUCUCUGGGAGCUCAAGCAGAGGCGAUAAGUAGGGGAUCUGGCCCUCCUCUGCUAGAUGUAUCCCCAUUAGUGCAUAUAAUUUUUCACCAUUUAACUUAUUAACGAAACUGAGAUGACGAGCCAAUGGGUAUGUAAAUUAUAUCAUCCAAGCCAAGACUAUCAGCGAAAAUAUCAAAACAUACAUAUACCUAUAGAUUAAAUAAAGGAAACUGCACACAUUGAUUUCAACAAAAUUAAGGUCAGCGUGGAGCUCAUCAUGUGGCUGAGAUGACAUGAACAGAAUGCGCCACAAGUCUUUAAAUUUUUUUUAAAAAAGAACGCGAGCUCUUAUUAAUGUGUUUUCCCACUAAACACAUGUGUUUCUUGACAUAGAACAAUCAGAGAAAACAGAUAUGAGAAAUUUAGGGAUAAAAAUGACAACUAGUUAACUAGUACUAUCUAUGGCUAGAAGAAGGCUAACUAGUUAACUAUGCUACCAUAUAAUUAUUUUGACAGCAGUCCUUAAAGAUGGAUUGGAAAACAAUAUGCUCUCUUCAAUUCUAUUUUGAGAUGACUAAUUUUUGCACAAAAGGCAAACACACACGGAUUGAAAUAUAUUUCCUUCGCAUCUGUAUCCCUUUACAUAGGAACCAUCAGAGUAUUUGCCCUCAAUGUAACAGUUUGCCUUGCAAUAUUCCUUAAAGCAGAAUGGAUGCACUUUAACAAAUUGCCUGCAAGUUUCUGGAAGAAAUAUAGCCACACAUUAGUAGAUUAUAAUCGCACUUGAUUUUGAUAUGUACUAUAUCUGACCAUGUCGUCUUGUCUCCCACGCUUUUUUCACACACGGAAGGCCGGCGUACGUGGAUCAACUGCAUCAGCCUUGGUGAGCGUGUGAUAGAUCGAUGUCUGCCUGCUGCAUCGAUCAGCUCGAACCGCCCGACGACCUUUUCUCGUUUCUUGAUCGAUCGAUCGAGCUAGCUAGGUCCAGCAAGCAGCUACGUACCAACCCAUGAACUAGCAUGAACAUGAACAUAUUCAUGCUGCGCUAGCUCGACGUCGGACGAUGGCCUAUCUAGCUUCCUUUCUUCUUCUUCCGAUCCGAUCCGAUCCGAUCCUACAUAAGGUAUGUGUGCUAGCGGGCCCACCAACACAAACAUCAUUUGUGCUGGAUCAAGGUUGUUGACGGGUGCUCGGCUCGCCAGCACAGAUAACUUUUAGCCGCCAGCACAAAUCUGAUGUGGCCUAGUGUAAUACAAUAGCAUAAAAUUAUUUUUGCUUCAACUAGCACAUGGAUGGUUCUCUUGCUAUUUGUUGGAAUACGGACGCAGCGAGGAAAUUGUUUAAAUUCAACUUCUGGGCUACUAAUAAGGUUUUAUAUAUAUAUCCUAGCUAGCUUCUCAACAUCUGCUUGUGGCGAGAAGACCGUGCAUGUCAACCGCAUGCAUGGCUGACGGCGGCAGCCGGUGCAAGUGCAACUGCAAGCAGCCGGAUCGAGAUGGACAUGCAAACGGCGUGCGUGCAUGGGCAAGUGAAGAUGCCGCAUGGCUGCCAAUGCAACGUGCAUGGCCGAUCAUACGUGGAUCAACUGCAUCAGCCACCGCAAGCGCGGUAGAUUCGAUGUCUGUCUACUGCAUCGAUCAGCUCAAACCACCUGACGACCUUUGACCUUUUCUCGUUUCUUGAUUGAUCAAUCGAGCUAGGAGCUACGAGCUACCAACCCCUGAACUAACAUGAGCUAGCAGCUAGUCAGCUACGAGCCAGCAAGCAGCUACGUAGCAACCCCAUGAACUAACAUGGAAUAAUCAGGACCUAUUUGGUAGGGCUGUGGCUGUGGCUAAAACGGCUGCGGCUGUAGCUGCUCUGGUGAAACAGCUUCUCUGGUGAAGCUGAAGCCAUUCUGAAAAGUGUUUGGCAAAACGGCUUCUCCUGUGUUUUUAGGAAUGGCUGUGAUAAAUCAAAUGUCAUAGAUGCCCUUGACUAUAUGGAUUUUUUUAAUAGAUGAAUGGAAUGCUUAACAUUUAUUUAUAAUUUGAGUUCAUUAGAAAUUUAAAAAAAUAAAAGAAUUAUUGUUUAAGCAAUAAUAAAAAGAUUAUUUAUCCUCUUUAAUUUUUCUUUUCCUUAAUCUGAUCCACGCCCUUCCAUUCCUUUUUUUCUUCUUUCUUUUUUCUGUUCUCCACGUGACCGCAAUCCACCCUCAUGACUCUUCCUAACCGUUUGCUAAUUUGAGUUCAUUACAAAUUAUGAAUAUAAACUAAAGGGAUUCGUGCGCUUGUAAAUACAAAAGGAGGCAUAAUCCUUACAUAGCAUGCAACCAUAUAAGCUAACUGACAUACUCAAGAUGAUCUAGAAAGGAAGAUUGCUCUAGCAAGAUCAUCUCAGAAUUUAUCCAUGGUCCGAUCAUCUGUUUCCAUGUUGGAUGUAUCUCCAGCAUCUUGAGAGACAUAGUCGGAGAGGAAGGCAGGCGGCGCGGGGAGGUGGGAGGCGCGGCCGAAGAGGAGGCCGUCGCAGUCGCCGGCGGCGGCGGCGCAGCGGUGGAGGAGCGCGGCGAGGGCGGCGCCGGAGAUGGAGAGGUUGGGCACCGGGGCCGGGGUGGCGCCGUCGCCGAGGGCCAUCGGAUCGGGGAUCCUCUGUCUCUGUGGACUCUGCUGCUGUG